GAGCUGCAGACUGGAGUUGCUUCUAUUCAUCCAUCUUGGAAUGGAAGAAAGUUCCUAUAUACCUUACAUCUUGUAAAGGUGAUCAAGAUGGCUGACCAGAUGCAGGUAGCAUGGCCUUCUUCGUGGAGAGGAACUCCAUUUUAAACAGAUUAUCUAGGAGAGAAUGCUGGAAUUCAUCAGAGAAGAGAAGGGAUUCAACAGAGAAAAGAAGGGAAGCACAGGAAGUGAGUAAGGAGAGGGGAUUGACUGAAAGCUGAGAGUGGCUCCUGGAUGAGGGGAAAUUAUAAGAGAGAAACUCCCAGGGCUCCACACUUUGAAAUGGGCUUUUAUGAUCUUGGCUAUGGUAGAAACCCUCAACCCACUUGGGUCUUGGGCCUGACAUACGGAGCUCCCUAAAGAUUGUGCAGAGACAUUGCCCUGGAAAAUGGAACCCACAUGGAAUCCCAUUUGAGCCUAGAGCAGCCUCAGCUGAGUGCUGUUUUGAGAACCUGGAUACUGGAGAUCUAUAGAAAUGGUUGCUGCUGCUGUGCUGCUUCAAGUAAGUAUAGAGGAGACCCAGCACUCCCAGGCACCCAUGGGAGGGUCCUUUCUGCCUUGCUGCGGGCUGCUGUUGAGACUGAGAUGUGAGUGAACCACAUUCCCCACAGCUUCUUACCCUGGUUGCAGGCCCAAGGAACCAUUUUGAGAGUUUAAUACUGUGCCAUGCCCUGCCCUCAGGCCCAGUUUGAGUUGACCUGGCUGCAGCCACCACCUGGCCAAGGAGGGACAGGGAAACAAAGCUCCUUUACAUAUACCUGGGACAAUUUCCCCGACCCUGCUAUGGGCUGCUGUGACAGGGAGACUUGAGCAGACCCCACUCCCCACAACUUCUUGUCCAUACUGCUUACCAGAGAGGGGCCUGUCCUCUUUGGUCACAAGCCCACAGCUGGCACAAUCAUAAGAGUUUAAUGUUGGGCUCUGUCCCCCUUUUUGCCAAGUCUGAGGUGAUGCCACUGUAGCCGCCACCCAGAUGGGGGAGGCACAGGGGAGAACAAGCUCUCCUAAGCACACUUAGGUCAAUACCACUACCCUGCUACAGGAUGCUGUGGGACUGGGGAGUAGCCCACCCAACCCAUUGCAUCUACCAGCAACACCAACAUGGACUGCCUGGGUCCUAGUGGAUUGCUCCACCACCACUACUGCCAUCACCCAUAUCACACCAGGUUGUGCUUCCCAGGGGCCUGAGAACUUGCCCACAUCCCUGUCCCCCAACUCCCAUGACUCCUCUAAGCAAGCCACUAGGAAGCUCAAGAAUCAGCCUCCCAGGACUCACUAAUACCAAAGCCAGUAGACUGCUCUGGGGCUCAGCCAUACUCUCCAAGCUGCUGCCACCACCAGGGCCCAAAGAUGGGCUCAGUUGGCAUCCACCACCCAGCUAAAUUUCUCCUCGAUCUCAAGUAAUAACUGUACUCUAAGCUACCAAGGAAAUCAAAGAUACCAGUGACCCUGGGUACUGCCUAUGAAGUCAUACUAAGAUCACACUACCAUAGGCACCCAGAAUCAAAGCCAAAGUAUCCUACUCAACUAACAACAUGCAUACAUUUUUCAGGAAAAAAAUUUUCUCCUACAGGGCAAUUAAAAAAACUUGAACAAGCUACUGCUACACAAGAUUUGCAGAUAUCAAUGAAAGGACACAGGAAACAUGAAAAAGGAGAAAAAUGUGACAUCAUCAAAGGACCACAAUUGUCCAGCAACAGAUCCCAAUCAAAAAGAAUCCCUCAAUAUGCCAGAUAAAGAAUUCAAAAUACUGAUUUUAUAAAGCCCUACAAGAUGCAAGAGAAAUUUGAAAAUCAAUACAAAGAAUUAGAAAAUCAGUCCAGGAAAUGAAUGAGAAAUUUACCUAGAUAAAUAACUUAAAAAAAAAAACAAGCAGAAACUCUUGAACUAAAAAAAUUCAAUGAAGGGAAUACAGAAUAUAUUCAAAAGCUUCAAUAGUAGACUGGACCAAGCAGAAGAAAGAACCUCAGAACAUGGCUGGGUGCAGUGGCUCAUGCCUGUAAUCCCAGCACUUUGGAAGACCAAGGUAGGUGGAUUCCUUGAGGUCAGAGUUCAAGGCCAGUUUGGGCAACAUAGUGAAACCCUAUCUCUAAAAUUAGAAGAAAAAAAAAGAAUCUAAGAACUUGAAGACAGGUCUUUUGAAAUGUCCUGUCUGACAAAAUAAAGAAAAAUAAAUAAAAAAGAAUCAUCAAAGACUUUGAGAUAUCUGGGACUACAUAGUGUGACCAAACUUAUGCAUUUUUGGUAUUUCCAAGGGGGAAGAGAGAUUUUAAAAAAUUAGAACACCUAUUUUUAGGAAGUAAUUGAUGAAAACUUCCACAUCUAGCAAGAGAGUUAGACAUCCAGCUACAGAGCCCCAGCAAAUACAUUGCAAAAAGAACUUCACAUAAUAGUACAUUUAGAAAGUCUAAAGUCAAGAAGAAAGAAAGAAUUUUAAAAUUAGCAAGAGAAAAGCAUCUAGUUACCUAUUAAGAAAACUCAUCAGACUAACAGCAGACUUUUCAGUGGAAACCUUACAGGCUAGAAAAGAAGAGAAUGGCAUUUCCAACUGCUGAAAGAAAAGUACUGUCAGCCAAAAAUUUUAUGUUCUGGCAGAAUAAGCUUCAUAAAUGAAGGAGAAAUAAAAUCUUUUCUAGAGAAGCAAAUGGUGAGUAAACUUGUCAACACUAGCCUGUUCCUAUGGGAGAUGCUCAAAUGGGUCUUAAAUAUGGAAAUGAAAGGUCAACACUCAGCGUCAUGAAAACACACAGAAAAAUAAAACUCACAUUUCUUAUAAAAACAACCUCAUACAUGAGGAAGAGAAAAGAAUCAAAUGGCAACAUGGGAGAAUCUCAUCAAACCACAAUGACAAAAAGAGAAAAAGAAAGAAACAAAUAAUUUAUCACAUAAAACAACUUAAAAACAAUUAACAAUAUGACAAGAAUAAAGCCUUGCAUAUCAAUAUUAACCUUGAAUAAAUGGAUUAAAUGCUUCACUUACAAGAUAUGUAUUGGCGGAAUACUUUAAACAACA
rnacentral:lncRNA from 1 species